rnacentral:lncRNA from 1 species
UUUAUCAUAUACUUAGACUAAAUAACAUAUGAUUUUUACUGUAUGAUAAUAACAUUAAAUUAACGUCAACUCCAUAUUUUACGAAUUGGUGCUUAGCGGGCUGAUAUGAAAAGUUUAUCACAUGCUUCGAUUGUUAUCACAUGCCUUUCCGUAACGUUAUCACAUGGCAUUCCGGUGAUACUCGGUAAAUUCCGGAAAAUACACCCCAGUGCUACGUUUUCAGUGAAAAACAUUACAAAGUAGUGUACAAAACAAUUAUUUGAAUACUGGAAAGUAAAUUGUGUAAAAUAAUAAAAUUGAAUUAAAAAAAAAA